ensembl:snoRNA
CACUCCACUGCACCUGACCAGUUCUUGUUGGCUGGUGCAAUCCAGUGGUGAGCUGAAAGUACGCCCCAGUUUUUAAGAAACAGGGAUUUUACAUGUGGAUGACUUUGUGCUGAAAGUGUGGGAACAGCC